CAGGACUGCAGAUGUUUGCUGCAAACGUGCAUUUGUAUUACUAGUAGUUCUAUUUUGCGUGCCGUUUGGACUUCUUUGUGUGCAGUGUCUGCUUCGCUGAAGCGAUGGCCACUAACUUCAGCAAGCGCGUCCUCAUCACUAGCUCCUCCUGUUUACUUGGUUGCGCCGUUCUGGAAGCGUUCAUCGCAGUGGGUUGGCAAAGGACCGGGCUCGCAUUUCCCGUGCUGAUCGACAUCCCAAUCUGGUUAAGACUGGUAUCUGUGCGAUCCCAUGGCCAUCGAAAAGCUGAUCGAUGAUUUGAAGCCGAACGUUGUUGUCUGUGCAGCGGAGCGCAGUCCCGAUGCCAUGGACCAGCAGCCAGCCGAGACUUUCCAGCUCAAUGUGCAGUCCACGCAGCAUCUGAGCCAGUGUGCCAAGAAAGUGGGCGCUUUCCUUCUCUACAUCAUCCGGUUGUUGAAAGAUACUCCGAUGGAAAGACUGGGUACAAUGCAGCGACUGGUUCCACGGAAAAGGAGUUUCGUUUGCACAUUAAUGGCGAUGAUAAGAUGGAUCGAAAUACCAAAUUGGACAAAGUGGAUAGCAAUGUUCAUGACAUCGUUUCGCCAACGCUUAGUCCGAUGCUCUCCAUUCCAGAUGCAUUUGUGGACGAUUUUGACACUUUUUCGGACGAUGAAGGUAUUCAAAACCAACCAGACCGAGUGAAAUCUCCCCCCAAAGAAAAGUGAAACUGCCACCCAUGACGAGAGCAUUGCCAACGAAAACCGCAGCGAUAUUGUUGCAUCGAUUCGGAGUGAUUUCUUGUCGUCCAGCCAUUCGGAAACUGGCCAAGCUGAUGUGAAUCUGCAAGAUUUUGAUAACAUUGUUUAUUUAGGUGGAUAUUAUUUUAUCGGAUAUUGCCGUCCACGAGACUUUGAUUUGGAUCUCCGUUUCCCUUCCAAAAAUGCGCAGGAAGUGUCCCCUGUUGAAGAUGAAUUAGAACAUGGAGAACUACUACCUGCAGCCGAUGAUAUUGUGUCGGAAAGCGGCGUGGCUGUUUCCAUUGUGGAAGAGAUUGAUGAUCACCCCGCCAAUGCAAGUGAAAAAGAGGUUGAAGAAAUUAGCAACGAUAAUUCGGGCGGUGACAAGAAACUGGAUGGAAAUGAUCUGUUUGCUGGUCGUAAAGUUGGGGCGGUGGAAGGUGGAGAUUAGGAUGCUGCACACGAAUCAGCUAGAUCCACUUCGUCGUCUAGACAUUCUAUUAUUGACGAUCUAUUGGGUGUAACACGGUCGAUAGUCAACGAAUACUCACCGGACGGGAGUGUUUCGCCUCAAUUGUCACCUAGACUAAAUCUUUCGAACAAUGCCUCUCCAUCCUUAUCACUUAAGCAAGCGUUUAAACCGAUUGACAUUCCGCUGCCAUCGGACGACUGGAUGGAAGAUAACUUCUUUACCGCCGUCCACUAUCCAGUAGUGAUGCCAGAAGUGGCUGAAACCGUUAUGGAAUGAACGGAAAAGCCGCAUAAACAAGGUGAAUAUACACACCAGCACAAAGUGGACAGUUUCUAUGCCGCGGUGGACGCAUUGUGCCUGAUCCAUCAACAAGCAUCUUCCUCCUCGGAUAAUUCUUUGCGUGAGAUUUGCGCUGACGCCGAUCAGAAUGAAGAAGAAGCUAUGCUGUUUGAUAGUAUAAUUAAUGUCUGCGAAGAGAAAUUCAUUUUCCCGGGGACUCCGAUACGGAAGCUGCAACUCUCUAAGGUCAAAUUGCCCAGUGAUGCAGAUCAUUUUGUGGCAAUUGUAUGGAAACCUGUAGAGGAUGUGGCGGCUCGAAUGGUGCUGCUGGAUGUAGCGCUGCAUGCUGCCCGAAUGGAACAAGAUGAUGUGGAACAACAGAUGGUCUACGAUUUGGCCUUCCAGGCUUUGGAGCGCAACGAGGCACAGUGGUGUGAUUUCAAGCAGAGUGAGGCGAUUCUCAAGGAAAAAUGUGUCAGUGUGUUGUGGAACAAUUUGUUACUGGUCAUUUGAAUUGAUAUGUCUAGUGAUGAUUAGAGCUUGUAUUCCUUGAGCGGAUGGUCGUGAGCGUCUGCUCUGCAACGAUUUUCCUAUGAUCUGUGCUAAAAUAACCUUAACCGACUACUGUAGUGCACCACAACUGUAAAUGCUCAAUUAAAAAUGGAAUAGGCGUAGUACGCUAUUGUGGAGA